rnacentral:rRNA from 1 species
CAGUCGCCGCGGUAAUACGGAGGGGGCUAGCGUUGUUCAGAAUUACUGGGCGUAAAGCGCACGUAGGCGGCUUGGUAAGUUAGAGGUGAAAGCCCGGAGCUCAACUCCGGAAUUGCCUUUAAGACUGCCGAGCUAGCAGGUGAGAGAGGUGAGUGGAAUUCCGAGUGUAGAGGUGAAAUUCGUAGAUAUUCGGAAGAACACCAGUGGCGAAGGCGGCUCACUGGCUCAUUCUAGACGCUGAGGUGCGAAAGCGUGGGGAGCAAACAGGAUUAGAUACCCGGGUAGUCCAUGUCUCUUAUAC